GAAGACAUGAAGUAUAGAUCAGAUUUGUUAAUAGAGGAGUAUGUUCAAAACACUUUUUAGAAAAAGAUAUUGACAGAACUUCACUUUCAUCUGUUCGUUUAAGAGACUGUGCUGUUCCAAUAGCUUAUGUCACACAGAAUCAGCUGAGAGAAGUGGUCUACAAAAAACCAGAAAGGAAACGGAAUAUGUGGCUACGAAAAGCAAAAGAAAGGUUUACAAAGCAAAUGUGACACAUUUUUUUAUAAUAUUUAGGAAUGUCAGUAAAUUACAUUAAAAAAUGUAUGUAAAGAUUUUUUGCAAUAAAAAUGUUUAUAUUUA